rnacentral:rRNA from 1 species
UACAGAGGUGCCGAGCGUUAGGCGGAAUCACUGGGCUUAAAGCGUGUGUAGGCGGACGUCUAAGUACCUUGUGAAAUCCCACGGCCUCACCCGUGGAACUGCUGGGUAUACUGGGCGUUCUUGAGCCACCUAGGGGCCGAGCGGAACAAAUGGUGGAGCGGUGAAAUGCGUAGAUAUCAUUUGGAACGCCAACGGUGAAAACAGCUGCUGGGGUGUG